GAUGAACGCUGGCGGCGUGCCUAAUACAUGCAAGUCGAGCGAACAGACGAGGAGCUUGCUCCUCUGACGUUAGCGGCGGACGGGUGAGUAACACGUGGAUAACCUACCUAUAAGACUGGGAUAACUUCGGGAAACCGGAGCUAAUACCGGAUAAUAUAUUCAACCGCAUGGUUCAAUAGUGAAAGACGGUUUUGCUGUCCUUUUUUGAUGGAUCCGCGCCGCAUUAGCCAGUUGGUAAAGUAAAGGCUUACCAAGGCAACGAUGCGUAGCCGACCUGAGAGGGUGAUCGGCCACACUAGAACUGAGACACGGUCCAGACUCCUACGGGAGGCAGCAGUAGGGAAUCUUCCGCAAUGGGCGAAAGCCUUACGGAGCAACGCCGCGUGAGUGAUGAAGGUCUUCGGAUCGUAAAACUCUGUUAUUAGGGAAAAACAAAUGUGUAAGUAACUAUGCACGUCUUGACGGUACCUAAUCAGAAAGCCACGGCUAACUACGUG
rnacentral:rRNA from 1 species